rnacentral:rRNA from 1 species
CUUAAAGGAAUUGACGGGGGCCCGCACAAGCGGCGGAGCAUGUGGAUUAAUUCGAUGCAACGCGAAGAACCUUACCUGGGCUUGACAUGGACCGGAUCGGCGUAGAGAUACGUUUUCCCUUGUGGUCGGUUCACAGGUGGUGCAUGGUUGUCGUCAGCUCGUGUCGUGAGAUGUUGGGUUAAGUCCCGCAAUGAGCGCAACCCUUGUCUUAUGUUGCCAGCACAUUAUGGUGGGUACUCAUGAGAGACUGCCGGGGUUAACUCGGAGGAAGGUGGGGAUGACGUCAAAUCAUCAUGCCCCUUAUGUCCAGGGCUUCACACAUGCUACAAUGGUCGGUACAGCGAGUUGCCACACCGUGAGGUGGAGCUAAUCUCUUAAAGCCGGCCUCAGUUCGGAUUGGGGUCUGCAACUCGACCCCAUGAAGUCGGAGUCGCUAGUAAUCGCAGAUCAGCAACGCUGCGGUGAAUACGUUCCCGGGCCUUGUACACACCGCCCGUCAC